rnacentral:lncRNA from 1 species
AGCUCAGAACGCGUUAGAAAAUCCACCACAACAUCACAAGGGUCUAUCAUAAAGACCAAAUCAAAUCUCUUUCUCAUUUAUCAAAUCAUAUCAAUUUGUGGAUUCCUAACUCAACACAUUUUAGCUCAAAACAUUUUAAUCUUCCUCAACAUCAACAAGGUAUCAAUGCAUUGAACCAUAACCGACUCGACAUUUGGAC